rnacentral:rRNA from 1 species
GACGAACGCUGGCGGCGUGCCUAAUACAUGCAAGUAGAACGCUGAAGGAGGAGCUUGCUUCUCUGGAUGAGUUGCGAACGGGUGAGUAACGCGUAGGUAACCUGCCUGGUAGCGGGGGAUAACUAUUGGAAACGAUAGCUAAUACCGCAUAAGAGUAGAUGUCGCAUGACAUUUGCUUAAAAGGUGCAAUUGCAUCACUACCAGAUGGACCUGCGUUGUAUUAGCUAGUUGGUGAGGUAACGGCUCACCAAGGCAGCGAUACAUAGCCGACCUGAGAGGGUGAUCGGCCACACUGGGACUGAGACACGGCCCAGACUCCUACGGGAGGCAGCAGUAGGGAAUCUUCGGCAAUGGACGGAAGUCUGACCGAGCAACGCCGCGUGAGUGAAGAAGGUUUUCGGAUCGUAAAGCUCUGUUGUAAGAGAAGAACGAGUGUGAGAGUGGAAAGUUCACACUGUGACGGUAUCUUACCAGAAAGGGACGGCUAACUACGUG